CACGUAGGGUGCAAGCGUUGUCCGGAUUUAUUGGGCGUAAAGGGCCCGUAGGCGGCUUGAUAAGUCGGGUGUGAAAACUCCAGGCUCAACCUGGAGACGCCACCCGAUACUGUCAUGGCUAGAGUCUGGUAGGGGAGUGCGGAAUUCCUGGUGUAGCGGUGAAAUGCGCAGAUAUCAGGAGGAACACCGGUGGCGAAGGCGGCACUCUGGGCCAGUACUGACGCUGAGGGGCGAAAGCGUGGGUAGCAAACAGG
rnacentral:rRNA from 1 species